rnacentral:rRNA from 1 species
UACGGGGGGAGCAAGCGUUGUUCGGAUUUACUGGGCGUAAAGGGCGCGUAGGCGGCCAGCACAAGUCAGUUGUGAAAUCUCCGAGCUUAACUCGGAAAGGUCAACUGAUACUGUGCGGCUAGAGUGCAGAAGGGGCAACUGGAAUUCUUGGUGUAGCGGUGAAAUGCGUAGAUAUCAAGAGGAACACCUGAGGUGAAGACGGGUUGCUGGGCUGACACUGACGCUGAGGCGCGAAAGCCAGGGGAGCAAACGGG